rnacentral:rRNA from 1 species
AGCGAACGCUGGCGGCAUGCCUAACACAUGCAAGUCGCACGGUCGGGGGGUGACCUUCGGCAGUGGCGGACGGGUGAGUAACGCGUAGGGAUCUAUCCUUGGAUGGGGGACAACCGCGGGAAACCGCGGCUAAUACCGCAUGAUGCCUGAGGGGCCAAAGCUCGCGAGAGCGUCUGGGGAGGAGCCUGCGUCCGAUUAGCUUGUUGGUGGGGUAACGGCCCACCAAGGCGUCGAUCGGUAGCUGGUCUGAGAGGAUGAUCAGCCACACUGGGACUGAGACACGGCCCAGACUCCUACGGGAGGCAGCAGGUGGGGGAAUAUUGGACAAUGGGCGCAAGCCUGAUCCAGCAAUGCCGCGUGGGUGAAGAA